UACAAUCCUUUCACUUAAACUAUGGCUGUAUCCGAAAUCACGUACUAUGUCUAUACGUACUGCCUCGCCGUUGAAACAGUGCGUACUAAUCAGUGUGUGUGUAUUAUGACUACAAUUCCGGAUAUACUACAUCCACCAUGUUAGCAUUGUCAUGUGACCUUCGACGUCAUCAUAAACACAAAAGUCUUAAACAAGUUAACAAUUUAUUCGGGUAUUGUUAAACAAGUCCUGUUUAACCAACGUUUAAUACAUAAAAAGAGUCGACGCGGUCUUCCGCACUAGUCCUGUUGCAUCAUGGGAUUGUUUGACUCGCAUAGGUUUCAUACUGCAAAAUCUCGCCGGAAGAAGUAUACCAUCCGGGUAUUUCUCACAUACUUAGAAUUCGGACAUAUUACCCCUCCGGCGUACUGCUUUUCGCCUACUGUGUAGUAGUUCUUGGAAUCAACUUUUAGACAAAGCGAAACUGAAAACUGGGUUUAAAAAAGCAGAAGCGGUUGGUGGUUGGUAACCACAGGAAGAGUCUGCGCCUUCAAACGG